ACACUCUACAAAUUUGUUCUACCAUACACAUCCACACACACACACACUUGAAGGUGUUCUUAUAUGGGGCUUAUAUGGGAACUUCGAGGAGACCUAGCUCCCAAACGAGGCCCGUUCCACCCAAUUUUUUUUUCUGGAAUGUCUUAGAAUGACGACUAGAAUCUACUCCCAAAAUUUCAAGAAAUUCUAAAGAAGACUUUAGAAGAUAGGAAACACGAACGGACGGACGGACGGACGG